rnacentral:lncRNA from 1 species
GCUGCGGGUGCAGCUGCACGCAACGUCGUUCCUGAUCCCGGCGACCUGCAGCAGCCGCUGGUUACCCUCGCACUACUGGCUCCGACUCCGACUCCGAGACCGGAGCGCCUCCGCCGGCGUGGCUCCGAUGCAGUACUCAUGUUCGUCAUCGUCUUCAUCUACGUGUGCUGUGCCGUGCUCAUCGUCGUGGGCGAGCUGCUCCCAGUGGUCGGCGAUCUCAUCCCCGUGGACUGCCAGCGCCAGUGCCAGCUGCAGCGGCGGUGCCUUGCUUGGUUCUUCAAGAACAUCGGCUACCUGUGGCUGGCUGUUGGCCAUUGCUGCCUCAUCAUUCCUUACGCCGUGCUCAGGCUGAGGAGGCUCGCCAGGAAGAAGGUUGCCAGCUUCUUCGUGUCGGCGCCAUGCAUGGUACACCCUCAGAGCUGUAGUGAACUUGGGCAUUCUCAUGAUAAAGGUAUAAGGAACAUAAUCUUUUUUAAACUGGGGAUUCUUAGGGAAAUGGCGAUUGGACUACAGCAUACUGAAACAUGUUUUGAACUAUCUCAAAUAUUCAAGGCUGCAACUCACAAGUUAAUUACUCAACUGUGCUAGGGUCGUUGUAGGAUAUGGCUAGCUGUGUAUAAUGCUCACGUUUUUUUUUGGAUAGACUGGUUCUGCAAAUCCAGCGGAGAAUUAUGUUGCAACGUGCGUACAUCAUGUCCUGGGUACUGGAG